GUAAUAUUCAAGAUUUUGAAAGGGAGUGGGGGAUUAUAAGAUGGACUGGGGGAGGGAGAGGGAGUCUUGGGAACAACAGAAAUACACAAAUAUACUGCAAAUGUAUGAAAUUUCUAAAACAAUUAAAUUAACUAAGAAGGAAGUAUGCCCAGAAUGUCAUUUCGUCCUCCACUGCCAAGUUCUUCCUCCUCCUAGUACCAGUCAGAUAAGUGACUCCCUCUACCAAGCUUCGCAAGAGGCUCCUCCUCUGUCCCCACUCACUCCUCCUGACCAUUGUUAUUUCUUUGAUACAAGAAGCUUCUGACUUAAUGGCUUAUAUUCUGCUUUUCCCCACCAAAUUGCCGUAUCUUAAGAGAUUAGGGGGCUUUAUUGGCAGCUGCCGUGCUAUUGCCUGGAGUCAAGUGUGUCGACCGUAGCCAACCACGGAUUCACUAAGACUCCAUGGGCAGCUGAUGCAAGCACGCACCAGGAGCUAAGGAACACUGACAAGGGAGGAGAUGCGUGAAAGAACAGAGGUGAGGAACAACCAACUCGACACGGUCUUGUCAGGGCUCCCGACUGAGACGUUAGGAUAACUAGAUGGCAAUCAGAAAAGAUAAAAUCCCAGAAAACUGGCUAGGCUCUGCCGAAGAAAAGACCUUGUGAUAAUGGAAGUUGCUCUGAAUUAGGCAGUUCUGCUGGGCGGCGCAGUGGGUCCCUGUCAUCCCAGGAGUCCAGGUAGAAGUGUAAAGGCCUCGUGCCUGGGUGAGUGUGUACUGGACAAGACGUCUUCUCUCCCUCCUUUCAUUGGGUCUUCCUGAGCAGAAUGUCGCGUUUCCUCACAAAGCCUUCUGGACGGCUCAGCUCUGCCGCUGUCCACCUUACACGUAGGGAGUUCUGUUUCUGUGGCUUGGACUCUUGCGUCUCCCUCUAUUUAAUGACCAUAUUAAUUUAUUUUCAUUCUGUUAUGUGACAUUUGAAAGCAUUAGUAGUAAUCUUUGUUCUUUCGAGAGGAAAGUCAGAAAUCUAACAAACGCACAAACAUGUAUACUCUUUUCCAGUAACUUAAACAAUAUUAGUUGGCUGCCAACUUAGGACACGUGUGUGAGAAAGGCCACUGAAACGUUUCUGUUCUGUGAAAAGGGAUGUCUAAGCAGCAGGUACGCAGACUGGUAAAGAGAUCAACGCUGAAGAUUCAGAACUUCUUUCUCUAGUGCAACGGUGACCGCCUGCACUGUCUGAACAGGAUGGAAAGGCAUCGAUCGCCAGCGCCUAAUGAAGGCCUCAUCAACUGUGGAGGAUGUGGAACCAUUUCAGCGUCUGCACGUAUGUUUUCAGAAGUAGAGACCAGGCGUGAGUCCCCCAGAGGAAGGACCGACGAGCAUGCCCUGCGCACUGUCUCCAGCAGGAAAGACCGGACAUCUCUGCUGCGCUGUUCAGUCUGCCUCCUCCUCUCCACUCCUCCAUCUGCCCUUCCCCGACUGAUGCAGGUAUCACCGCCCCGCCCUGCCUGCAUUCCACGGCUCUGAACAUGCUGCUUUUCUGUCGAGACUCUCCUCUGGAUACAGCCAGAUUGGCAGGACUACCGUCAUUUAUCAAAUACUGCUGAGUGGACUUUUCUCAUACUCAACUGCCUUUCUUUCCUGUGGUUUGUGUUAUUAAAGAGAUUUGACGUGCCUUGCCAUGCUGUGUUCGAGACUCAAAGGAUUCUAAACAAAAUCAGAAUACCAGCAGAGCCCAGGUUAAGGGAUGCAAAGGGCAUUGCAUCGGCCGCCCCUGGCUGGUUUCCCUUUACAGUGCCCGACUCCCUGAUCCAGCAGCCCAAGGCCAACGCUGGCCCUGAUGGUGAGUUUGGAUGAUAUGGUUCUGAGAUACGGAUGGACCUGGAAAUCAGGAGGAGAGUUUAAGCAGAACAGCACAUUCUUGGAAACACUCGGAGGGCCUCUACGUAUUCCAAGUAAUACUUGCAGAACCCUUACUCCUCAGCCAUUCCCAUGGCUGUAUGAGGCAUGAAAGCCAGUCAAGGCCUGGGGCAUUACACCGAGCGGUGGGCUUUGAAUGUGUCGCCCUGCCCUGGGAAGACUCCUGUGGUGGCCUUAGCUCUUCCCGGUCCACCUCAGACUCAUGAAAUCUCCCGAGGUUGUGAGCUGUACAUUUAAAGGAUCCUUCUGUCCUAUCAGUAAAAACUAGUAAACUUUAGUAAGAAGAAAGAAAACAGGUUGAGCUUGACAGUCUAUGCUUGUGAUCCCUGCACUUGGCAGGUGCUGGUGGGGGGAACGGGAGUUUGAGGCUUGUCUGGGUCACAAAGCAAGUUUGAGUCCAGCCUGUGUUACUUGAGACCCUGUUUCAAAAACCAAAACCCACAAAAAAAAAAAAACUAAACAAGCAAGCAAGUAAACAAACAAAAACCUAGCAUGUACACACACACACACAUUUGCACACACACACACACAUUCACACACAAACAAAAAUAAAUAAAGCAACAGCAUCAAAUAGUGCUCAAUGUGACAGCUUAUGGUACUGCUGGUCAGUCUUGAUUAGGACCGGAUACUGUCAGUUCACGUUCAUAUUUUCCUUUCUCUCCCACUUGGCAGUAUAAAUACCUGUCUCGAGUCACUAAAAAUGCUGUCAUUUUCCAGAUGUAUCAUAACUGGUCUUCAAUCAAGAUGUCACCCUCUCAGCUGAGCAAUAAAUCAUCUUGGGAAUAUGUAUAUCAGGCUUAUGAGUGCUGUACAAACUCAUCCCUGAAGAUCAGUAUAUGGGGAGCGUUUACUUCGUAGCCUCCCAGUGUGUGACUGGCACCAUUAAUAGGAUGGUGUCUGAUACAAGCCACUGGCAGCAAAGAUACGACCCCCACACGCACACAGCCACCAAGUAGGAAAAGAUGACUUCAUUUCUGUGAGAGUGGAUCAGAUAUCCACGAAGCUCUAGCUCUUGCUUCGGCAACUGAAGCGGUAUUUACAAGGAUAUUGCCGCAGCAAGGAUCCGAUUGUAUCUGGUCAGCUGGCCGGGGCGCUUUGGCUUUGUCAGACAAGCGUUUCUUUCCCUUGUCGUGACUUCCAGGUGCUACUGCUGAGCAAAUGGGGCAUCCCUGCCAGAAAAGGAUUUGAAAAGAACAGGAGCAACAGCAACAGAAAUCCUGAUUUGGACAAUCUGUGUGUUCUUGCCAUCCACAAAGGCUUGACUGUGGGGAGUGGGGCGGCUGGAGGAGGGUCACAGUGAGGUUAAGAGAAAAGCACCCAGGAAUUCUCUGUUGUUGAAAGGUUUUAAAGCUAACUGGUUUUGGUGGCCGCUGGAGAUACACCCCUUUCCAUCAAAUACGGAGAGAUCUCGAUAAUAGCAUGUACAAGUUGUCCCUCAGAUUUCCCCAAGAGGUGACUACAUUUACAAUGAAAAAAAAAUCACUUAAAAUCUAAAGUUUAGACAGUUAGCCCAACCAAUAAAGAGAAGGAUUCUUCUGUGGAGAGCCUGGCGGGGAUCUCAAAAGAUGCUACUGGUUAUCCAGAAAGGGAUUUAAAUUAACAAUGUAUGCUACUAACAAGUGAAAUGCUAAACACGUCCUACCUAUAUCAGUUGCUUGGUGGCAGAGUCUAGACCGGAAACAAAUUUAAACAUUUGUUAAGGCAUGCAAGCAUAUUUGCAGCAAGAUUCAAGUUCCAGCAUCAUACAACAGUAUGCUAAGCAUUCCUUUGUACUGGAAGGCAGAAUCUCUAGUACAGAAGUUGGAGAUUUUAUAGUUUUAUUCCUUGUUAUUUGCCAACAUUUAGCCAUAGAGCUGCAUGUAAGCUCGGAGAACAUUGGUGAGGAGCUCAAUAAAUCUAUUUGCCUUUGUUGGUUCGUGGGAGAGAUGGUUGUCAAGUGGGAGCUGCAGGAAAGAAUUCAAAACCUAGGGAAAAGGUAAGAGUCCAAGCUUUUAAAAAGACCCAAAGUGCUGUGGACAUGUUGGAACUUGCCCAUGGUUUUAAUUCACCAUUAUACUCUCUUUGAUAGUA